AUGGGAACCUGUGCAAAUAUUAUGUUAAAUUAAGUUAAGCUAAAUUUGUAUACUAUUAUAAUAUAGUAUAAUAAAUAAAAUAAUAUUAAUAUUAUUGUAAAAUAUUUGGAAUCUAAGCAAAUGGUAUUCACGAUUGCUUAUUUGCUUUGAAAACACUUUCAACAACAUUUUAUUCAAUUAUUUAAUUAGUUUUCGUUUUAAGUAGUUUGCUGUUUUUAUUAAAUUGUUCCAUCAUGAUUGCCUAUAUGAAGAAGUUUUUAUUUUGCAUCCCCCUGCGGGUGGGCAACAUUUUCAUUGGUUACUUUUUCCUCGUGCGCGGCUUUUGCAAUGUUUACUUGGUAAUUUAUCUGUUCCCACUGCUCUGUAAGCGCAUGGUCUGGGUAUGGUUUCUGCAAUCGCAGUUAAAUUGCAUUGCUGGCGUUCUGCUGCUCGCUGUCACCUUCCAGCCUCAUCUGCUGAACCAUAUGCUGCCCAUACAAAUCGUUGUUAAACUAACAAGUAUAAUUAUCGAAUUGUCAUUUUACCUAUUGAUGAGUAGUUCUGGUCUGUCAUCUCCACUGUUAGUCGGAUACUCUGCGGCCUCAAUUAUAGUCUGUAUUUUGUGAUAGUUAUUUUCUCCUUCUAUCAUGAGACGGAUCGUAAAUAAGACUGUGAAGCUUUACCGCUCUGCUCAGCUGACCGUAUGGGUUUUCUCUUAUCACGGCUAACAAAAAGAGAGAAGAAGAAGAAAAACGGUAGUUCAUACGGUCAACGUCAACGCAGACUUAAUCACAGCGUGUAGCAUUUUGUGCCAUGAUUAAACGCAAAUUUAUUAGGCAAAUGUUGCGCAAUUGCUGGAAAAAACUAAAAACUUCAAGUCGCGAGCAUAAAUCGUGCGGGGCCAAUUGUCACCAGGCUCCGAUGCGGACUACCAAACUGCAGCUAGGGGCUUCAACUUGCGGCGACUAUUGGCUUAAUUAUCGUCGCACCGUUGCGCUACAUGCGUGCUAAUUGAGUGCGGCCAGCCAACUGACCAACUGACCAACUGAGUUGGCGCUGGAGUUGGAGCUGGAGCUGGACAUGGCGUCGAUGUCCACGUCCUGCUAUGAUAACAACAACGCGACGACAAACGCACGCUGUGCUCCAAAAUGAAAAUUAUGUUGCAAUCCUCUCUCAAUGCCCAAUGCUCAAGUGUCUGGUGGCCAGAGCCCCACACACACACUCCGCUGGCUCACUGGCUCACUGAUCGCCUCUUAUCUGCCUGGGCUGUUGGCAGUGCAAAGUUGAAGGCAAGUAUGAAAAAUGUUGCAACAAAAAAGCAGAAACCAAUACAGACAUGUUCGGGCUUGUUGCUGGUCUGUUUCGGUAGUAUGUUGAGGGCGUUGCCGUGGCUGCAGCCCUUUUGGCCCAUUACUCUUAGCCCGGCCGAAUCGAUUAUUGCAAAAAUUAUGUCUGACCGCAGGGUAAGGGCCGCAGCAGCAACUUUAGUUACAAUCACAAUUACAAUUCGAUAAUGUUCAAUAAAUUUGCUGUUGGCUUUAAGCUUUA